rnacentral:tRNA from 1 species
UCCGAUAUGGUCUAGUGGCUAGGAUACCUGGCUGUUACCCAAGAGGCUCGGUUUCCAUUGCCGGUAUCGGAA